UGUAGAGUUUGAUCCUGGCUCAGAUUGAACGCUGGCGGCAUGCCUUACACAUGCAAGUCGAACGGCAGCGCGGGCUUCGGCCUGGCGGCGAGUGGCGAACGGGUGAGUAAUACAUCGGAACGUGCCCAGUAGUGGGGGAUAGCUCGGCGAAAGCCGGAUUAAUACCGCAUACGACCUGAGGGUGAAAGCGGGGGAUCUUCGGACCUCGCGCUAUUGGAGCGGCCGAUGGCAGAUUAGCUGG
rnacentral:rRNA from 13 species